UACGUAGGGGGCAAGCGUUGUCCGGAUUUAUUGGGCGUAAAGAGCUCGUAGGCGGUUAGUCGCGUCGGGAGUGAAAACUCAGGGCUCAACCCUGAGCGUGCUUCCGAUACGGGCUGACUAGAGGUAUGCAGGGGAGAACGGAAUUCCUGGUGUAGCGGUGGAAUGCGCAGAUAUCAGGAGGAACACCGGUGGCGAAGGCGGUUCUCUGGGCAUUACCUGACGCUGAGGAGCGAAAGCAUGGGGAGCGAACAGG
rnacentral:rRNA from 1 species